rnacentral:sRNA from 1 species
ACGUUUUUUUCAUAGAGAUUUAGAUUUAAGGUUAGAAGAAUUGUGGAAGUCGUGAGACUUCCCUUUUUUUCGCCUUGAAAGUUGCUCUCUUAUUAAUCUGAUAACAAAUUAUAGAUUGCUAAGAGAACAAAAAAGCUCUUUCGCGAGAAAGAGCUUUUUU